rnacentral:rRNA from 1 species
UUGACCUCGGAUCAGGUAGGGAUACCCGCUGAACUUAAGCAUAUCAAUAAGCGGAGGAAAAGAAACCAACAGGGAUUGCCUUAGUAACGGCGAGUGAAGCGGCAAUAGCUCAAAUUUGAAAGCUGGCCCCUUCGGGGUCCGCGUUGUAAUUUGUAGAGGAUGAUUCGGCGAGGGCUCCCGUCUAAGUCCCUUGGAACAGGGCGUCAUAGAGGGUGAGAAUCCCGUAUGUGAUGGGCUGCCUUAGCCAUGUGAAUCUCCUUCGACGAGUCGAGUUGUUUGGGAAUGCAGCUCUAAAUGGGAGGUAAAUUUCUUCUAAAGCUAAAUACCGGCCAGAGACCGAUAGCGCACAAGUAGAGUGAUCGAAAGAUGAAAAGCACUUUGGAAAGAGAGUUAAAAAGUACGUGAAAUUGUUGAAAGGGAAGCGCUUGCAGCCAGACUUGUCCGCAGUUGCUCAGCUUGUCUCCUGACAGGCGUACUCUUCUGCGGCCAGGCCAGCAUCAGUUCGGGCGGUCGGAUAAAGACCUGGGGAAUGUAGCUCCUCUCGGGGAGU